rnacentral:rRNA from 1 species
AUUGAACGCUAGCGGGAUGCUUUACACAUGCAAGUCGAACGGAGUGGUGGAAGGGUGAGUAAUAUAUCUGAACGUGCCACGUCGCGGGGGAUAACUACUCGAAAGAGUGGCUAAUACCGCAUACUAUUGGAGCGGCCGAUAUCGGAUUCGCUCGUUGGGUGGGAAAAGGCUCAACAAGGAAACGAUCCGUAGCUGGUUUGAGAGGAAGACCAGCCACACGGGGACUGAGACACGGCCCAGACUCCUACGUGAGGCAGCAGUGGGGAAUUUUGGACAAUGGGGGAAACCCUGAUCCAGCCAUCCCGCGUGUAUGAUGAAGGCCUUCGGGUUGUAAAGUACUUUUGGCAGAGAAGCGGUAUCUGCAGAAUAAGCACCGGCUAACUACGUGCCAGCAGCCGCGGUAAUAC